GGUCUGCUGCUCAAUGGAAGAGCACCUGCUUUGCAUGCUGAAGGUCUCAGGAUCGAUCCCUGCAGUGACGGACCU